AACGAACGCUGGCGGCGCGUAUUAAGCAUGCAAGUCGAACGGGAACCCGGGGGCAACCCUGGGGGAGAGUGGCGAACGGGUGAGUAACACGUAGGUGAUCUGUCCCCGGGUGGGGUAUAGCCCAUGGAAACAUGGGGUAAUACCGCAUGAGGUCCUGGAGCUUGAAGGCUUCUGGAUGAAAGGCGCAAUUGUGUUGCCUGGGGAUGAGCCUGCGGCUCAUUAGCUAGUUGGUGAGGUAAAGGCCCACCAAGGCGACGAUGGGUAGCCGGCCUGAGAGGGUGUACGGCCACACUGGGACUGAGACACGGCCCAGACUCCUACGGGUGGCUG
rnacentral:rRNA from 1 species